UACGGAGGGGGGUUAGCGUUGUUCGGAAUGACUGGGCGUAAAGCGCGCGUAGGCGGAUCAGGAAGUUGGGGGGUGAAAUCCCGGGGCUCAACCCCGGAAUGGCCUUCAAAACUCCUGGUCUUGAGUUCGAGAGAGGUGAGUGGAAUUCCGAGUGUAGAGGUGAAAUUCGUAGAUAUUCGGAGGAACACCAGUGGCGAAGGCGGCUCACUGGCUCGACACUGACGCUGAGGUGCGAAAGCGUGGGGAGCAAACAGG
rnacentral:rRNA from 1 species